AUUUAUAUAAUAUAAUAAGUAUAUUUGACUUCCAAUCAAAAAGUUUAAUAAUUUUAAUAUAAAUA
rnacentral:tRNA from 1 species